UACGGAGGGUGCGAGCGUUGUUCGGAAUCACUGGGCGUAAAGGGCGUGUAGGCGGCCCGCUAAGUCUGAUGUGAAAGCCCGGGGCUCACCCCCCGGAAGUGCAUUGGAAACUGGCGGACUCGAGUCCCGGAGAGGAGAGUGGAAUUCCUGGUGUAGCGGUGAAAUGCGCAGAUAUCAGGAGGAACACCGAUGGCGAAGGCAGGUCUCUGGGCCACUACUGACGCUGAGAAGCGAAAGCAUGGGGGAGCGAACAGG
rnacentral:rRNA from 1 species